rnacentral:rRNA from 1 species
AACAGCCGCGGUAAUUCCAGCUCCAAUAGCGUAUAUUAAAGUUGUUGCAGUUAAAAAGCUCGUAGUUGAAUUUCGAGAUCAAUUUGUCGGUCGUGCCUCGGUACGUACUGGCAUUAUUGAUUUCUCCCUUCUGAAGAACCGCGAUGUCAUUAAUUUGGUGUCGCGGGGAAUCAGGACUGUUACUUUGAAAAAUUAGAGUGUUUAAAGCAGGCGCACGCUUGAAUACAUUAGCAUGGAAUAAUGAAAUAGGACGUUUGAUUCUAUUUUGUUGGUUUCUAGGAUCACCGUAAUGAUUAAUAGGGAUAGUUGGGGGCAUUAGUAUUCAAUUGUCAGAGGUGAAAUUCUUGGAUUUAUUGAAGACUAACUACUGCGAAAGCAUUUGCCAAGGAUGUUUUCAUUAAUCAAGAACGAAAGUUAGGAGAUCGAAGACGAUCAGAUACCGUCGUAGUC